rnacentral:tRNA from 1 species
CGAAAAGUAGUUUAACCUAAAACAAAAGCUUUGGAGGCUUUGAAUUUACUUUGUAACUUUUUGA